AGGAAGAAAAACACUCAGAAGGAUAGUGCAAAUAAUCCAGGAGCUAGAUAGUAUCAAUGGCUCAGAAUUGUGGAAUCCUGGAUUAUUUGCACUAUCCUUCUGAGUGCUUUUCUUCCU